AGGGGUUUGAUCAUGGGGCUCAGAGUGAACGCUGGCGGCGUGCCUAACACAUGCAAGUCGAGCGAAGCGGCAGUCUGUAGCAAUACAGAUAUGUGCUUAGCGGCAAACGGGUGAGUAAUACGUAGACAACCAUCCUCUUAGCGGGGGAUAGCCCAUCGAAAGGUGGGAUAAUACCGCGUACGAUCCAAGAUUGGCAUCAAUUUUGGAUGAAACAUCAGCAAUGAUGGCUGAGAGACGGGUCUAUGGCCUAUCAGCUAGUUGGCGGGAUAAACGCCCACCAAGGCAAUGACGGGUAGCCGACCUGAAAGGGUGAUCGGCCACACUGACACUGAGACACGGGUCAGACUCCUACGGGAGGCAGCAGUGAGGAAUUUUGGACAAUGGGGGAAACCCUGAUCCAGCGACGCCGCGUGGAGGACGAAGGUCUUCGGAUUGUAAACUCCUUUUGUCUGAGAACNAAGAAAUCUAUAGAAAUAUAGAGAGUGAGUGUAUCAGAUGAAUAAGCCCACGGCUAACUUCGUGCCANCAGCCGCGGUAAUACGAAGGUGGCAAGCGUUACUCGGAAUGACUAGGCGUAAAGGGCAGGGUAGGCGGUUUUGUAAGUCUGUUGGUGAAAGCUCCCGGCUUAACUGGGAGAGGCCCAACAGAAUACUGCAAGGCUUUGAGUAUGGGAGAAGGAUACUGGAAUUCCCGGUGUAGCGGUUGAAAUGGCGCA
rnacentral:rRNA from 1 species